rnacentral:rRNA from 1 species
CCCUUAGAUGUUCUGGGCCGCACGCGCGCUACACUGACGAAUGCAACGAGCUUAUAACCUUGGCCGAAAGGUCUGGGUAAUCUCCAAAUUUCGUCGUGAUGGGGAUAGAUUAUUGCAAUUAUUAAUCUUCAACGAGGAAUGCCUAGUAAGCGCAAGUCAUCAGCUUGCGUUGAUUACGUCCCUGCCCUUUGUACACACCGCCCGUCGCUACUACCGAUUGAACGUUUUAGUGAGGUAUUUGGACUGGACCUUCGGAGGUUCGCGCCUCCGUUGCUGUUCGGGAAGACUCCCAAACUUGAGCGUUUAGAGGAAGUAAAANUCGUANCA